rnacentral:rRNA from 1 species
GAUGAACGCUGGCGGCGUGCCUAAUACAUGCAAGUCGAGCGAACAGAUGAGGAGCUUGCUCCUCUGACGUUAGCGGCGGACGGGUGAGUAACACGUGGAUAACCUACCUAUAAGACUGGGAUAACUUCGGGAAACCGGAGCUAAUACCGGAUAAUAUAUUGAACCGCAUGGUUCAAUAGUGAAAGACGGUUUUGCUGUCACUUAUAGAUGGAUCCGCGCCGCAUUAGCUAGUUGGUAAGGUAACGGCUUACCAAGGCAACGAUGCGUAGCCGACCUGGGAGGGUGAUCGGCCACACUGGAACUGAGACACGGUCCAGACUCCUACGGGAGGCAGCAGUAGGGAAUCUUCCGCAAUGGGCGAAAGCCUGACGGAGCAACGCCGCGUGAGUGAUGAAGGUCUUCGGAUCGUAAAACUCUGUUAUUGGGGAAGAACAAAUGUGUAAGUAACUAUGCACGUCUUGACGGUACCUAAUCAGAAAGCCACGGCUAACUACGUG